rnacentral:rRNA from 1 species
UACGUAGGGACCGAGCGUUGUCCGGAAUCAUUGGGCGUAAAGAGCGUGUAGGCGGCCAACUAAGUCCUGCGUGAAAUCUCGGGGCUCAACCCCGAGCGGUCGUGGGAAACUGGUUGGCUAGAGUGCGGGAGAGGAGAGUGGAAUUCCUGGUGUAGCGGUGAAAUGCGCAGAUAUCAGGAAGAACACCCGUGGCGAAGGCGGCUCUCUGGGCCUUACCUGACGCUGAGGAGCGAAAGCGUGGGGAGCGAACAGG